rnacentral:rRNA from 1 species
CGUUAAAUCGACCGCCUGGGGAGUACGGCCGCAAGGUUAAAACUCAAAUGAAUUGACGGGGGCCCGCACAAGCGGUGGAGCAUGUGGUUUAAUUCGAUGCAACGCGAAGAACCUUACCUGGUCUUGACAUCCACAGAACUUUCCAGAGAUGGAUUGGUGCCUUCGGGAACUGUGAGACAGGUGCUGCAUGGCUGUCGUCAGCUCGUGUUGUGAAAUGUUGGGUUAAGUCCCGCAACGAGCGCAACCCUUAUCCUUUGUUGCCAGCGGUCCGGCCGGGAACUCAAAGGAGAC